GACGAACGCUGGCGGCGUGCCUAAUACAUGCAAGUUGAGCGAUGAAGAUUGGUGCUUGCACCAAUUUGAAGAGCAGCGAACGGGUGAGUAACGCGUGGGGAAUCUGCCUUUGAGCGGGGGACAACAUUUGGAAACGAAUGCUAAUACCGCAUAACAACUUUAAACAUAAGUUUUAAGUUUGAAAGAUGCAUUUGCAUCACUCAAAGAUGAUCCCGCGUUGUAUUAGCUAGUUGGUGAGGUAAAGGCUCACCAAGGCGAUGAUACAUAGCCGACCUGAGAGGGUGAUCGGCCACAUUGGAACUGAGACACGGCCCAAACUCCUACGGGAGGCAGCAGUGGGGAAUCUUCGGCAAUGGACGAAAGUCUGACCGAGCAACGCCGCGUGGGUGAAGAAGGUUUUCGGAUCGUAAAGCUCUGUUGGUGGGGAAGAACGUUGGUAGGAGUGAAAGCUCAUCAAGUGACGGUAACUACCCAGAAAGGGACGGCUAACUACGUG
rnacentral:rRNA from 1 species